UUUUCUCACAUUUGCCCUAACACAGUGAUAUUCAGCAUGGCGUUAGCUUGAAGUUAAUCCGUAGUGCAUUGGACAUCAGCCAGGACGAGAUAAUGUAAGACAUCACAUCAUUAAAUUCAUUUAGCCUAUUUCCUUAUUCAACUUAUAGUUGACACAUUUUCCGAUUACAACUUGGCAUAAUUAACCAGGCAAGUCAUUACGGAGCAAAUCUACAUUGGGAUGAUAUACACAACUAUUGAUGACAACCACUUCAAGACCUCCAUCUGAAUUGGUCGAGUAUCCCUGUGUUAAUUAUUAGAGCUAAAUAAUGUACUUGAGUGUCAGACAUUUAUGGUUAAGCCAUUCUGUGGAUUUUCAGUUAGACCUAUCAUGAUUGUAAUAUUUAUUUCAUCACUUUAGCAAUUCUCUCAGUUAUUUUAUUAUGUGGUUUCCCUUUCCCAAUUCUCUC
rnacentral:lncRNA from 1 species